AGUAGUUAAGUUUGUGGGGAGUCAAAAGUUACAUGCAAUUUUCGACUGUACAGGGGGUUGGCGCCUCUAACCCCCACAUUGUUCAAGGGCUAACUGUAUACCAAAGGCUGGGCUUAUACUAAUAGUUCAAGUUACAGAGAUAAGAAAAAGGCAUGAACAAUCAAAAUCACAGGGGCUUGGGAAACAAAAAAAACCUGAUUCAAAGCCAGACUCAGUUAUUUACUAGCUAUAUGAUUGUGAGCAAGUUAUUUAACUUCUCUGACCUUAGUCUCAUCAGUUAAAGAGGGGUAACAAUACCUACACCAUAAGGGUUGCUGUGUGGAUUACAUAAGAUGAUAUACACACCUGGCACAUUGCAGGUGCUCAAUAAAUGUUAAUGCUGUGCCCCUUAUCCAUUUGUAGAGAAUCAAUAGUAA
rnacentral:lncRNA from 10 species